rnacentral:rRNA from 1 species
UACGGGGGGGGCAAGCGUUGUUCGGAAUUACUGGGCGUAAAGGGCUCGUAGGUGGCCAACUAAGUCAGACGUGAAAUCCCUCGGCUUAACCGGGGAACUGCGUCUGAUACUGGAUGGCUUGAGUUCGGGAGAGGGAUGCGGAAUUCCAGGUGUAGCGGUGAAAUGCGUAGAUAUCUGAAAGAACACCAGUGGCGAAGGCGGUCAACUGGCUUUUAACUGACGCUCAGGCACGAAAGCGUGGGUAGCGAACAGG